CGGCUAAGAAUGAAUUGAGAAGCAGGUUAACAUGCCACAGGUUUUCCUUUGCCAGUUUGGAUCACCCGUUUCCACUCAACUCGGCAGCAACAUAAGAACCUGACACACACAAACACCUCUUGACAAGAUCUUUUGUUCCUCACAGAGUGUGUACUACCCUCAGCAGGUUUCAUCAGGGGCUGAAGUAGGCUGGGGAGCCCAGAGGCACAUCUCUUCCUUCCCCUGACAGUGGGGGACCAAAGGGUCCCACAUGCUUGGAAGGGUAGUUUUUGUAUCAUAUUGCCUCAGAACCUAAGACAAAUGUGUCUCACCCCCUUUCUAGAGACAUCUGAACUCAUGAACUUGAAAUUUUCAUGUCUGUUUUUUUUUAAUUCAAGAUCCAUUUUAUUUUAUUCCCAACUCCAUAGUAUAUACACACUUAUCCUUACAUAUUUCUACCAUGUAAUUGAGAACAUUACCUACGAGAUAUGUUCCAGCUUCUAAAAGCAUACUACUUGAUUAAUCUAUGCAGAAAACAAUUCAGGGAUCCAAUGAAAAGCAAUAAAUAAAUAUUUAAGGCAGAGAGAAGUGAAACAACAUAUACAUAUCCAAAACAAACACUAUAUUCUGUGUAAUAAAAGACAAAUAAUCCUUUGAUUUCUCAGACAAACGUCUUCCCUAAGGGAUUAUAUAAAGUGUUUUUACAAAUCUAUUUAAAGAGAGCUAAAGCCCAUUGCUGGGGCAUUAGUCUUCAGUUUACCGGGAGUAGGAAGGAAUAUUCUUAUUAUUCCAUCAAUAUUUUCAACACAAGAUGCUUCAAUAAUGUAAUGCCACUUGUUAUCUUGCACUCUUGCUAACUUGCAUAUAUAUCAGGUCUGGUCAAAAACUUGGUUGAAGUUUUCUGUGAGAGUUUUGAUUUUUCAUAAACCCAAAACUAGAUUUUUCAUUGAAUUUUUCCACCAGGGGAAAAAAACCCAAAACAAAUCAAAACCAGAUAUUUUCCAGCCAGGUCUUAUAAUCAAAGACAUUUUAAAAAACAGUACAUUCAGACUGCCCACAAGAGAUGCAUAUUUUUGUGGGAGUGUCAAAUAGCACCACCUAUAUAUGUAAUUACCACUUCAGGGUUUACAUGCUUGCUCCUCGAAGUGUAUUUAUUAAUACACUAGAAAAAGGGGUCAACACUUGAGGUAUCAGCAUGAUACUUACAAGAGAAAUGGCAAGUAUGCAUUUAUAUUGUUUUUAUUUUCUUCCUUGUUCUACACCCAAGAAAAAAGGAGAUCCCAAACACUACAGCAACGAAACCAGAGUGUUGCACAAUUAAAUGCCAAUAGAGCCAACAGUACAACAGUUAAGGUUUCCUUCAGCAAUAUGGAUCAGUUUCUGUCUUCAGUUACCUCAGGGAAAAUACAGAGUAACUUCACUGAAGUCAAUAGACUUAUUCCAGGUUUGAGUGGUAUAGCUGAGAGUAGAAUUUAGCCUUAAGCAAUUUUUUCUUCACUGUUUGGAAGGGGUGGGUGAAUAUUUUGUCCAAACAAUCACAUUUGUCUUUCUUACUGAAAAGAACUGUUUAUCUCCCAAUCAUGUAUAUCCACAGGCUAUUUCUAUCUUCUUUUAUUAAUAUACACUAUGGAGGACUUCCUCUGCUGUUUCUGCAUAUUCUCUAGUAGGGAACAAUAAUUGGCAGUCAUCCUCUUCAUAUUUUUUUCUUGAGCCUCUUUGCUUUCAGCACAUUCUGGGAAUCUCAGCCCCUUGCUGCCAACAUCAAGAAAUCAGUACUGAGAUUCUAUACCGAGGAAGAGCUUUCAAAAGUGCCUAUUUGGUGCUAAGAAAAAAAAGCCAACUGCCAGCCUUCACACAGAAGGAGAAAUAAGAUGGUUUGUGAGAGACAAAAAUGACAGAACAAUGUGAAAAAUGCAUUACAUCAUGCUUAGGAUUUUUGCACUCCCAUAUGGAAGUGUGGAGGUGGGAAAGGGAAACCACAAAGAUAAAGCUUUCUAAAUAUUCUGUCAGUGACAGAGACAAAGAUGGGACAGACAAUAUUUCUCUUUAGCCUCAGAUUUCUCAGUUGGUCUUAAGAAGUUUUAUUUCUCAUCAUUACCAUUUAGACUUAUCUUAUGAGUCUCUUAAUCUCUUGCUACUAUCUUGCUUAUGGACAAUGAAACUACAGGUAGUCCCAAACUAAAGCCCUAUGACUAGACAUCAACUUUUUUUCCUCCUAAGGUAGGGUGGGGAAAAAGUGUGGAAACCCCAUUUGAAGUUUUUCAAAUAAGUCCUUGGCUCUAACAAGAAAUAAAGCAAGUGAAAAAAGUUAUAUACAUAUUUUAGAAACAGAACUCAUGUUAGUGGUGAUUUGACCUGAGUAUACAGAACAAUUGCUAACAGGACUCAUGUCCUGCUAUUCCAUCCCUAUGUCAUAUGACAACCUAGCUAUAUGGGAUUUUGAAUUAUUUUACUUUUGAAAAAGUUUGUUUCCCCAUAGGACCUAUUAGGGGAAUGCUAAGAUGCACAAAAAUUCCAUCUGCCACUGUUUAGAAAAUUGACUAGGGAGCUUAAAGUCUUUACCUACUUCAGUGGCAACAGGAAGGAGAGAUUUAGAAGAAAUAAAUGAAGACUACUAACUUAUUUGUCUAUUCCACUUCUUUGCUUUUAUUCCCCCUUGCUUCCCCACUUGGUAGCAGAGAUGAGCCUUUCCAAAUCUCUCCCCAUAAACAAGUUACCUUUAGAUUUCCAACUGUAGCAGAAGCCUCAGAGACCGUUUUAUUUUCUUGUCUCGCUAAACCACAUUAAGAUCUUUCUUAAAAAGGCAGAAUAGUGUGGCUGGCUGUAGUUUUCACUCCAUCAAAUAAUCACUCUUUUGUGCAGAAAUCAUUAGCUUCAAGGCUUGCUAGUGCAAACAACCAAAAGAUCAACCCUUAAAAGAGUUAUCCUAGGAGGCAAAGCUGCUCCUAGCUGGUUAUAUAGGGUGUAAUUAAAAGCAGGUGUGUAAUUGGCAAUGAGUUAUCUCACUCAGAGUCAGGUACCUGUGCCACUAGAGUAUAAAAUCACAGCUCUUGGCUCUUAAUGUAGACUAUGAAAUGAUGAAGUUCAUUAAGAAAUGUCUAGUAGAUGACAGGAGUAUGGUAAAAGCAAAUGACUGAUCCCCACAGAGGGGGUGAGUUGUUUGCUUAUUGUUUACUACUCUGCUAUGAGUCUCUCAUUUCUCCACUACAGUGAGGUGGGCAGCAGGCCACUACAAAAUAGCUUGAGAUCCUGAAUUUAUUUCUAAGGAGCCACUGAAUAUUACAACCUUCAAUGAUGUUGGAAAUUUAAGUCUUGUACUAUACAGCUAAAAGUACAGUAACAGAGACCCAUAAAAGGCAACAAGUCCCACAGCUCUACUCUGAUAUAAACAAAUCUAGUGCUAAUGUGUAGCUUACCUAAAAAUAUUCUCGGUAUGUUUAAGUUUAUGAGUAGUAGGUUCCUGGAAACGCUCUCCAUUCUGUGGCUUUGGUUCAGGAAAUCCCUUCUUACGAUCCCAGAUAGGCUUCACCUCCUCCUUAGGUGCUUUGUCCUUAUUAGCCUUGUCAUCUUUGAUCUGCUUGGGAGAUGUUAGAAAGCGUACAACCAAAAACAAAACAAAAAAUCAUAAUUAGACGUUGUGGAUGACUGAAAAGGAAAACAAGUUUCCCACCAUCAAUGGGCAACUGAACAACUGUCUUCAAAUGUUCUAUGGCAGGAAUAGGUUGUCAAGUUCUAAAAUGUGGCCUGCAACCAACCUCGCCUUCUGAUCUAUGUUAAAUAUGCAGGCAUCUGAAUUCAUCUACACUGUGUGCUAAUCUGCUGUGGCCUUGGAAAUCUCAAGCAUCCUUACUUCUCAUGCAAUCAAGCCAGUCUCUACCACUACCUUGCCCACCAUCCCCUUCCUGAUCAUGUGUCUGUUUAUUCACCUGUUGUGUAUUGUCUAAAUCAUAGACUGAGCUCUCUGAGGCAGGGAUUGUCUGGUUGGGGCCCUAGGCGCUACUGCAAUAGAAAUAAUAUAAUCUUAAAUUGAUUUGCACAAAGCAAGUGCAUGCUAUGUGGAUGUAGCCAAUACAUUCAACGGCACAGGAGGUAUGUGCUAUACGGACGUACCUAGGACUUUCUGUGUCACAGCAGGUGCAUACUACCUAGCUAUUACAAGUAUAGUUUGCAAUAGUAGUUAAAAAUUAUGUUUCAAAGCAAUAUUUGCUUUGAUAAAUGUGUAACUGGGGUUAUCAUCACCUGUACCCCAGUCUAAACAGUGACUAGUGGAGGAAGAUACUAUCGGAAGUGAAGCUCUUACGCCUAUGAAGAAGCAGAUGUUUUCUCUGGAAACAUUAAGGCAAGAUUUCCCCCCUUCCCCUACAAGCCUUUGCCCGACAUAAGUCAGACUAAGAUCCAGAAUCAUUAUGCACUAGUUUCACUCUCUAAACCCCACCCAGAAAAUUCUGGACUGAAAAUUAUUUAUUAUCACCACUGAUGGCCUGACCCCAGCAUGCUGAGUCAUGGUUGGAUGCUGAUGGAAAGUGCAGGAUAUGGCAAUUGAUUUCAGUUCUUCUGUUCUGUGGACAGAAUUAUUCCCACUAAGUAAAUUAGCUAAACCAGCAGCCAAAACAAGCUUUGAAUAGCAGUGGAGGAAAAUACCAACGUUAACCCAAGGAAGAUCUCCGUUUUCGCUUUUAGCUUUGCCAAAUUUGGGAAAUGCUCUGAUUGGCAGCCUGAAUAUCAUUUAUUUGGAGAAUUGUCUGUAAACCUUUAGCAAGCUGUACUAUAUUACUCUGCAUCCUACUGCCCUUCCAUCUGAUCUGAAAAGAAAAUAAAUCGUACACAGUCCUAUUCUAGGACACAUUUUAAAAAAAACGUACUCCAAGCUGCGUCUAGUGGAAAAGCCCAAACCUCUACACUAUUUCUAUCCUUCCUCCGCUCAAUGCGCCUUUCAAUAGCCCACCUCCAAGGCAUCCCCUCCCACUUUUCAAAAGCAGGAGCCUCAUGGGGGGAAGGGGGAUGCUUACAAAGCACCUGACAUGACUGCGCAGCUUGAAACCCUAAGACCUGUUCUGCCUGGAACUGGCAUUAAGUGCUGUUCAUACAAUGCCAGUACCACAAGUGACAGCUAUCAUGUGGUGUGGACUGCAAGUGUGUGUGGGUGGGAGGGGAUGAGUUUUCAUAUAUUCUGCGUGAAUUUGCUUCUGGUGAAAGAUGCCAGCUAUACAACUCUGAGAGAAAACUGCUCUGUCCUUAGAAUAGGCAGCAGCAAUGUAAGCUUCCCCUAUACUGCCCUUCCAAUGAGCCUCAAGGUAUGUCCACGCUGCAAAAAAAUGGUGUGUUCUGAAUUUGGAUUAGCUAACCCCAGUUAAAAUAGCAGUGAAGACAAAGCAACUCAGCUUUUAACUUGUGAUAGCAGCUCAACAUCAACCCCAGGCUCCCUAUAGGUUUUAACUUCAGCUGCUAACCCAAAUUAAAAGUAGAGUUGCAGCGUCUUUGCUGUUAACUCAGGUUAGCAGCUCGAGUUCGAGCCUAUAAUGGAGACUGGGGUUAAACCUGAGCUUCUAACCUGAGUUAGAAGCUGAGUUGAUGGAGUCUUCACUGCUAUUGUAACCCCAGUUCGGUAACCCAAGUUAAAAACACACCUUUUUGUGCGGUAGACAUACCCUCAGCUACGACCAAGUGGAAUCACGUUAAUAGGUAAGAGGGGAAUUCCGUUUCCAUGAUCACGCAUUCUUUGGCCUUGAUGCUGUGACUAGCAGCAGCCAAGCCUAUUAUUGCUAGGGGCAACAGUAGUGGCUUUGAAGAUGUGAACUCCUAACUUCUAGGAACUAGUCAGAGACAAUCAUUUCAGUAACUCACUCUAAUGAACAGUCAUCAGCUUGUAAUGUCUUUUGGUCACUCCCAAUCUGGGCAAGAUUUGAACCAGUGAUGUAAUAACAGGAAAAAGCUCUGGCUCUCAUUAGCAAUCCCCUGCACUACUCAAUCCCUUUCUGAGUGAUUUAGAGACCUGGGGUGUUGAUUGUUUCAGGAUUUCAAAUGCCAGGACUUCUGUUUUGGGAUUUUGAAAGGGCAGAAUUUCCUUUUAUGAGAUUUUCAUCAAGUCCCUUCUAAGUCUCAUUAAAAACCCAGUAUGUCAGCUGCCUGAGCUGCAGUCCCAGCUGGGGCAGGUAGUGUAUCUUACAUCUUAAUUGAAAUUGCUAAGAAAACUAAUAGUAAAAAAAUAUGCUUUUAGAAUUAACAGGCUAGGGAAUACCUUUUCAUGGGCUAAAAGGAUUUGAUUUAAAAGAUUAUGGUUUCUUACCAAGUGUGUGGGGGUGGGUGGAAGGAAGGGACACACACACACAAAUAAUAAACACAACUGGGCUUUUUGACUAAAAAAAGAAAGGAAGAUAAAAUAGGUUAUCAGAGAAACACGUCAAGGGUUUAGGGCCCAAUCCUGCUUCUGUUAAUUUUAAUGGAGAACAGCCAUUGACUUCAACAGAAGCAGGAAAUAGACCCUUUCAUAGCAGUGCACCCUAAAAGUGACAGAAUUAAACAUUUUUGUAUGCUUACACAUCUCAGUGAAUUAGGGAUCAAUCCAUCUGACGCUGAAAGGAAUGGAAAGGCUCCUACUGACUCCAGUGGAAUUAGAUCAGACCUGCAGUAGUAUCUUCAAAAAACACAGCCCAUCUCCUCCCACAGAUCCUGACCCUCAAAUCAAAUUGAACAUGACUGAAAUUUUUCUGGAGGUUUGUAAAUUGUUCAGCUAUUUUUAUUUUUGCACAUUUCUCCAUCUCCAGGUUCCUGCUAGGAAUGUAAAUUAGAACUUGAGAUGCAACAUUUCCACCCAGAGUUUGAACACCUCAAAGUUUUGGUUCUGUCAAUUAUAAAGAUCGCAAACUUUGGUUCCUGAUUUGGGUUCAAUUUUGGAAUGCCCCAAAAAGCUGUGGGCAUCUACAGCUACCUCUAGGUGGCAGCUGGGAGCAGGAUUCCUAGCUCGGGCAGACAGAGACACACUAGCUCUGCUCAAGCUAGUGUGCUAAAAAUAGCAGGGUAGCAUGGGUGGCAGCUCAGGCUAGCCACCUGAGUAGAAACCUGCACAGACCCCUUGGGUAUGUGCCCAAGCCGCUGCCUGUGCUACCGCUGGCUACGUUGCUAUUUUUAGUGCAUUAGCUCAAGAAGAGCUACCGUGUAUCUGUCCACCCAAGCUGGAAAGUGCAUGCCCAGCUGCAGUGUAGAGGUACCCUAAGGUUUAGGUUUGGGGCCCAUCUCUAUCAAAGUAGAGAUACCUAUAUACCAUGAGAAAAGGCUGCUUUUGCAGUAUGUUUAGCCAAACCGGAAGCGGGAGUCUCAUGUCAAGAGAAAACUUGUUCUGAUGAACUUUCCAGACCAAUUUUGCAGACCCAAAUGUUGGGACAGUUCAAAGAAGCGGCCAGACUUUUGGUUGCUAAAUUGAGUGAAACCUACACUGUGAGGGCCAGAUUCUGAUCUCACUUAAAGUGGAUGUGCACUGGUGUAACACAGGUACAUAGGCAUAAAUCUGAGGUAACAGAGAGAGGAGAAGAAUGCCCCCAGAUCUAGUCAGGCUUACAAUCUCGCAACCCUAUUAAUAACUACAUAACUUGUCAAAAUUCAGGCUUUGUUGAAUUUUGUGUAUCACUAUCAUGACAGGAAUGUACUGAAAGGCUGCUCAUCUUGCAGUAGUGAGAAUAUCAUUCUUGUCCUAAGCCAAAAAGCGAUGGCCAAGAUUUUCAAAAGGGACUAAUGAUUUUGGGUGUCCAACUUGAGACACCUUUUGGGAGGUGGGUGUUUAG